GACGUAGGGUGCGAGCGUUGUCCGGAUUUAUUGGGCGUAAAGAGCUCGUAGGCGGCUCGUCGCGUCAGCUGUGAAAACCCGCAGCUUAACUGUGGGCUUGCAGCUGAUACGGGCGGGCUAGAGUUCGGUAGGGGAGACUGGAAUUCCUGGUGUAGCGGAGAAAUGCGCAGAUAUCAGGAGGAACACCGGUGGCGAAGGCGGGUCUCUGGGCCGAUACUGACGCUGAGGAGCGAAAGCGUGGGGAGCGAACAGG
rnacentral:rRNA from 1 species